rnacentral:misc_RNA from 1 species
UUCCUAUUUUAUUUAUAUCUUCCUAUUGUUUUUAACAUGUUUUAAAAAAAGGCCAUUACGUUAUGUAACGGCUAUUAUUUAUAGGUUUUUUGCCUCCCGUUACUGUAACACUCAUUAUUUAAAGGCAUAAAAAAGUUUGCUUCUGUAACAGCCAUUACACCCGUUACUUAACUAUAAAGGCUGUUAUUUUAAGUAAUAGUAAUGAUCCAUUUUCUCAUUUAUUAUUUUAAGUCAGAUGGGGGUAGUAACUAUUCCUCAUUUUUUUUCCUCUUAAGUGUUUUUAGCUGUUGUCUCUUACUUUCUCUCUCAAAUUUCCUUCUAAACUUUUCUUUCUACAAAUCUUUUACUUCUCUUUUGACCUAUCAUCAACUAACUUUCUAGUUAUACACAUUGGUUUCUAGAAAAUGUUAUUUACUUUGUUUGUUGUUUUUUGCUUAUUUGUUGAGGAAAAUUAUGUUUGAUGCUA